UCAGAUCUCUAUUGAAGAUAACUCGACCAAAGCGGCCAAUGACAAGAAAAAGACAAAGAAACUGAGGAAAGGAAAAGGAAAGAAGGUGAAGAACAAUCAGGAUUUGGAUGAUCCCUCUAAUACCGAUGGUUUUGAUUAAUUAAAUGACGAUGAAGCCGCAGAUGAUCAGAGCCAAUUCGAAGUUCAGGGAGAGACUGCAGGAAGUGCUGAAAUGGUGCUCAAUGAAGAUGAUUGUAAGAAUACUGAACUCAGAAACUAUGAAAGAAUGUUGCUUUGAUUUCUUAUCCCUGCAAAUCAGCAAGUGGUCACUGAAUAGGAUGUUAAAAGCAGUUGA